rnacentral:rRNA from 1 species
GCCUACAGCCACACCACUGCAGUCUGUAUUUUUCUCAGAUCUCACAAGCUAAGCAGAAUCAGGCCGAGUGCAUAUUUGAAUGAGAGACCUCCAAGAAAAACUCAAGGUACUGUAAGUU